AUUGAACGCUGGCGGCAUGCCUUACACAUGCAAGUCGAACGGCAGCACGGGGCAACCUGGGGGCGAGUGGCGAACGGGUGAGUAAUGCAUCGGAACGUACCUUUCAGAGGGGGAUAACGUAGCGAAAGUUACGCUAAUACCGCAUAUUCUGUGAGCAGGAAAGCAGGGGAUCGUAAGACCUUGCGCUGAUUGAGCGGCCGGUGUCAGAUUAGCUCGUUGGUGAGGUAAAGGCUCACCAAGGCGACGAUCUGUAGCGGGUCUGAGAGGAUGAUCCGCCACACUGGAACUGAGACACGGUCCAGACUCCUACGGGAGGCAGCAGUGGGGAAUUUUGGACAAUGGGGGCAACCCUGAUCCAGCCAUGCCGCGUGAGUGAAGAAGGCCUUCGGGUUGUAAAGCUCUUUCGGCCGGGAAGAAAUCGCACGGGCUAAUACCCUGUGUGGAUGACGGUACCGGAAUAAGAAGCACCGGCUAACUACGUGCCAGCCGCCGCCGUAA
rnacentral:rRNA from 1 species